rnacentral:tRNA from 1 species
GCACGAAAAUUAAUCUAAGUUGUUGAUUUGCAUAUUAUAGCCACGGGACUUAAAAUCCCCCGCUCGUAAGGGCGUGCCGGUUCGAUUCCGGCUUCGGGCACCA